rnacentral:rRNA from 1 species
UGAGUUUGAUGAUGGCUCUGAAUGAACGCUGUCCAAAUGCUUGACACAUGCUAAUCGUACGUCUAGUUAUAUUUUUAAUUUAGUUAGAAGUGGUGUACAGGUGAGUAACAAGACUAAUAAACCACCUUAAAGUGAGGUAUUUAAAAUACCUUAUAUGAUAAAGAAAUAUUUAUUUUGCUUUAAGAAGUUUAUGUCUCGGGUAGCAAAUACUAUAUUAAAUUAUAGUUAGCCUAAUACCCGUAACCAAGACUGAAAGGUUAAUUGGUCACAGUGUGGCCUGAACAAAGCCCACGGUUUAUACUACAGCAGUGAGGAAUAUUGGUCAAUAGCCUAACGGCUGAACCAGCAACUUGGAAGAAUGGAUUAUUUGUAUAUAUACAAUAUUAACUAUGUUAAAUAAAGUUCUAGGUAGAAUUAUGAUAAUGACAUAUUUUAUCUAUAAGUCUUGACCAAGUCACGUGCCAGCAGUCGCGGUAAUACGUGGAAGACUAGUGUUAUUCAUCUUUAAUAGGUUUAAAGGGUACCUAGACAGUUAAUUAAGCCUAAAAGGCACUGAUUAACUAGAGUUUAAUAUAAGAAGGGGAGUACGGUGAGUGUAGAGAUAAAAUUCGAUAAUACCAUUUAGAAACUGGUAAUGGCGAAAGCAACCUUUUAUGUAAAAACUGACGUUGAGGUACGAAGGCUCGAUAAAGUAACAGGAUUAGAUACCCUAGUAUUGUGAGCAGACAAUGAUGAAUGUCAUAUAUAAGAUUAUAUUUUAUAUAUAAAUGAAAGUGUAAACAUUCCACCUCAAGAGUAAUACGGCAACGUAGGAACUGAAAUCAUUAGACCGUUUCUGAAACCAGUAGUGGAGUAUGUUGUUUAAUUUGAUAACCCACGUAAAACCUUACCACAACUUGAAUAUUUAUAAUUUAUUUAUAAUUACAGGAGUUGCACGGCUGUCUAAAGUUAAUGUCGUGAGAUCAUGGUUAGUUCCAUUAAAUUAACGUAAACCCUUACUUUAUUUUUUAUAAAGUAGUUCGCCAUUAUAUUGGUAAUGAUAUAAGGGAUUAAGACAAGUCAUCAUGGCCUUAAUGUUGUGGGCUACAGAUGUGCCACGUAUGCCUUAACAAAGAGAUGCAAAAUUGUGAAAUAUAGCUAAUCUUAUAAAUUUGGACAUAAAAUGGAUUGUAGUCUGUAAUUCGACUACAUGAAAAAGUAAUUACUAGUAAUCGUGUAUCAUUAUGCCACGGUGGAUAAAAUCUCAGUUGGGUACUAACUACUCGUCAGACGAUGAAAGGAGUUUGUGCAAUAAGUUUGGCUUAGAUAUACUUUCAAUUUAAAUAAUUAGAUUUAUAUAUGUAUAUUAUAAGUCUUCGCAUGCGUAUUUCUGAUUAUUGUUAAGUCGAAAUAUGGUUCGUGUAGUGGAAGUUG